rnacentral:rRNA from 1 species
GACGAACGCUGGCGGCGUGCUUAACACAUGCAAGUCGAACGGAAAGGCCCUGCUUUUGUGGGGUGCUCGAGUGGCGAACGGGUGAGUAACACGUGAGUAACCUGCCCUUGACUUUGGGAUAACUUCAGGAAACUGGGGCUAAUACCGGAUAGGAGCUCCUGCUGCAUGGUGGGGGUUGGAAAGUUUCGGCGGUUGGGGAUGGACUCGCGGCUUAUCAGCUUGUUGGUGGGGUAGUGGCUUACCAAGGCUUUGACGGGUAGCCGGCCUGAGAGGGUGACCGGCCACAUUGGGACUGAGGUACGGCCCAGACUCCUACGGGAGGCAGCAGUGGGGAAUAUUGCACAAUGGGCGGAAGCCUGAUGCAGCAACGCCGCGUGCGGGAUGACGGCCUUCGGGUUGUAAACCGCUUUCGCCUGUGCCGAAGCGUGAGUGACGGUAAUGGGUAAAGAAGCACCGGCUAACUACGUG